CGGCCGGGGGUGCCCUAAUACAUGCAAGUCGAACGAACUCUGGUAUUGAUUGGUGCUUGCAUCAUGAUUUACAUUUGAGUGAGUGGCGAACUGGUGAGUAACACGUGGGAAACCUGCCCAGAAGCGGGGGAUAACACCUGGAAACAGAUGCUAAUACCGCAUAACAACUUGGACCGCAUGGUCCGAGUUUGAAAGAUGGCUUCGGCUAUCACUUUUGGAUGGUCCCGCGGCGUAUUAGCUAGAUGGUGGGGUAACGGCUCACCAUGGCAAUGAUACGUAGCCGACCUGAGAGGGUAAUCGGCCACAUUGGGACUGAGACACGGCCCAAACUCCUACGGGAGGCAGCAGUAGGGAAUCUUCCACAAUGGACGAAAGUCUGAUGGAGCAACGCCGCGUGAGUGAAGAAGGGUUUCGGCUCGUAAAACUCUGUUGUUAAAGAAGAACAUAUCUGAGAGUAACUGUUCAGGUAUUGACGGUAUUUAACCAGAAAGCCACGGCUAACUACGUGCCAGCAGCCGCGGUAAUACGUAGGUGGCAAGCGUUGUCCGGAUUUAUUGGGCGUAAAGCGAGCGCAGGCGGUUUUUUAAGUCUGAUGUGAAAGCCUUCGGCUCAACCGAAGAAGUGCAUCGGAAACUGGGAAACUUGAGUGCAGAAGAGGACAGUGGAACUCCAUGUGUAGCGGUGAAAUGCGUAGAUAUAUGGAAGAACACCAGUGGCGAAGGCGGCUGUCUGGUCUGUAACUGACGCUGAGGCUCGAAAGUAUGGGUAGCAAACAGGAUUAGAUACCCUGGUAGUCCAUACCGUAAACGAUGAAUGCUAAGUGUUGGAGGGUUUCCGCCCUUCAGUGCUGCAGCUAACGCAUUAAGCAUUCCGCCUGGGGAGUACGGCCGCAAGGCUGAAACUCAAAGGAAUUGACGGGGGCCCGCACAAGCGGUGGAGCAUGUGGUUUAAUUCGAAGCUACGCGAAGAACCUUACCAGGUCUUGACAUACUAUGCAAAUCUAAGAGAUUAGACGUUCCCUUCGGGGACAUGGAUACAGGUGGUGCAUGGUUGUCGUCAGCUCGUGUCGUGAGAUGUUGGGUUAAGUCCCGCAACGAGCGCAACCCUUAUUAUCAGUUGCCAGCAUUAAGUUGGGCACUCUGGUGAGACUGCCGGUGACAAACCGGAGGAAGGUGGGGAUGACGUCAAAUCAUCAUGCCCCUUAUGACCUGGGCUACACACGUGCUACAAUGGAUGGUACAACGAGUUGCGAACUCGCGAGAGUAAGCUAAUCUCUUAAAGCCAUUCUCAGUUCGGAUUGUAGGCUGCAACUCGCCUACAUGAAGUCGGAAUCGCUAGUAAUCGCGGAUCAGCAUGCCGCGGUGAAUACGUUCCCGGGCCUUGUACACACCGCCCGUCACACCAUGAGAGUUUGUAACACCCAAAGUCGGUGGGGUAACCUUUUAGGAACCAGCCGCCUAAGGGGGGCCCCAGUG
rnacentral:rRNA from 1 species